rnacentral:rRNA from 1 species
AACGAACGCUGGCGGCAGGCUUAACACAUGCAAGUCGAGCGCCCCGCAAGGGGAGCGGCAGACGGGUGAGUAACGCGUGGGAAUCUACCCAUCUCUACGGAAUAACGCAUGGAAACGUGUGCUAAUACCGUAUACGUCCUUCGGGAGAAAGAUUUAUCGGAGAUGGAUGAGCCCGCGUUGGAUUAGCUUGUUGGUGGGGUAAAGGCCUACCAAGGCGACGAUCCAUAGCUGGGCUGAGAGGAUGAUCAGCCACACUGGGACUGAGACACGGCCCAGACGCCUACGGGGGGCAGCAGUGGGGAAUAUUGGACAAUGGGCGCAAGCCUGAGCCAGCCAUGCCGCGUGAGUGAUGAAGGCCCUAGGGUUGUAAAGCUCUUUCACCGGUGAAGAUAAUGACGGUAACCGGAGAAGAAGCCCCGGCUAACUUCGUGCCAGCCGCCGCCGUAACAC